CCUUGACAUCCAGAGAACUUAGCAGAGAUGCUUUGGUGCCUUCGGGGACUCUGAGACAGGUGCUGCAUGGCUGUCGUCAGCUCGUGUUGUGAAAUGUUGGGUUAAGUCCGCAACGAGCGCAACCCUUAUCCUUUGUUGCCAGCGGUUCGGCCGGGAACUCAAAGGAGACUGCCGGUGAUAAACCGGAGGAAGGUGGGGAUGACGUCAAGUCAUCAUGGCCCUUACGGCCAGGGCUACACACGUGCUACAAUGGCGCAUACGAAGAGAAGCGACCUCGCGAGAGCAAGCGGACCUCAUAAAGUGCGUCGUAGUCCGGAUUGGAGUCUGCAACUCGACUCCAUGAAGUCGGAAUCGCUAGUAAUCGUAGAUCAGAAUGCUACGGUGAAUACGUUCCCGGGCCUUGUACACACCGCCCGUCACACCAUGGGAGUGGGUUGCAAAAGAAGUAGGUAGCUUAACCUUCGGGAGGGCGCUUACCACUUUGUGAUUCCUGACUGGGGUGAAGUCGUAACAAGGUAAGCGUAGCGAG
rnacentral:rRNA from 1 species